CGAAGCGGCACACAACUUUCACGUUACAAAAUAAUCCUCCAGGAAUGUCUACAAGCACAGGUUAGGCCAACGCAGUGCCUCACGUCAUCUCAUCCUGAGGGGGCCGUGAAUGUCUGCAGAGAACUCGGAGAAUCACUCAAUCUGGACUUCAGACCGAUUUUACUAUCCCUGGAGUUUGAGCUGCUCAAACUUCUCUCUGGACUUCCUCAACAAGUCAUCAGGAGUGUUACAGAUCGCAGGGAUUCGGUGUGUCAUCAGGGAAUGAGACUGGAAUGUUCUCGCUUGUCUCUCAAAGAGGAAGCUGUUGCAUAAUCCCAGAUAUUGGGUCAUAGGGUCAAAACACUUUCAUUAAUCUACACUACUGGGUUUACGUUACAAGACGAGACACGCCCAUCACACGCAAACCUGUCCACAGCUUCCAGACUUUAUCUAUCGACGUUGUCGGGUGUAUUUGUGAGAGAGAGUAGGAUGUGUCGUGCAGAGGACUACGUCACCCUGCGUGAUCUCACCACUUCACAUGAGAGCAAUCAGGUUCCUGUUUAUGCUCCGUUCCUUAAUUCUCUCCAUCCAAACCUGACCUGCAGGUUUCUGUCUCCAGGUGCAUACCAAUUCUCUUUCAGCACACUGAUUUAUUGUUCACUGGGUAUUAACGUAUUGAGCUGUGUAAGUAUUUUCAAAUGGUGCUGGGAAUAAUUUAAACUGAUAGACUUAACCUUUUUUCAAAGCAAUGACUAUUCCUUACAAAACACAGCAGUUAUUGUUCGAUACAGACAGAGACAUUCUGGGUUUAAGAUGUUUCUAAAUAAUAAAGAUAUUUCCAGCUGUAACAACACAUUAAGGCAGAAGAGAAUUACUCACAAACGGUCUGGGCCAAAAACAAAUUGGAUUAUGUGAGAUAGUUUACCUGCUAAUUAAACAACCCGAGUCUAGGAGUGAACUUCAAAUAAAAUAUGUUAACAAGCUUUAUAAAUGCAUGAUUAUAGACUUAACCUUUUGACUAAAAUGUAUUUGAAACAACAACACCUUCAUCAGUGGGGAUCAUUUUGAUCAAUUCACGUACAGAGUCGACAGUUUUCUGCAAAGACUGUGACAAAGAAAGGAAUGCCAGACACAGUUUAAAGUAAUAAAUAUGCACAUUUAUUAAGAAGUAAUGAAACAAACCUUUAGUUUAUUAUAUUUAGUAAAUAGUAACUGAUGUAAAAAGGUAUGGCUGUGUGAAAUUGUGCAGCUAACAAAACAUGUGCACAUCCCAACAUGCUGAGAUUUCUGAUUAUCAGUGGUGAUUCAAAUGAUUUCAAAUAUUUGUCCCGUAUUAACUGUUCAGUAAUUUAUUAAUGACAAAACAAUCAUAUUUGAUAAGCUUUUUGUAUACGAACAUCUGCAUUUGUAAGGUAACUAAAGCUGCAAAACAAAUAUAAACCAGUAAAACAUGAAAUACUUCCCUCUGAGAUGUAAUGGAUUAGAAGUAUACAGUAGCAUAAAAUCAAAUACCUCAAAUGUGUCCUAAGUACAGAAUAAAAAUGCUUUCAAAUGCU